UCGGAUCCCAGCUUAGUUGCAACUUGCAACCGGGAACUAUACCUACUUUACCCUUCAAACUGGAAUAGAUGCAGGUUUUUGUGUACAGUCGCUUGCAUGCAUCAUCCAUCAUAGCGUUGAGAGAGAAUGGCGAUUGCGGGUAAAGUAGGAGACUGGGCGUUCAAAGCGUUCACGGCGGGGCUGGGCGUCGCCACUAUAUAUCUCACCGCCACUUUCUCCGUUAACGUGUACAGAGGACUUGCCUGGCACAACGCCCAAUCAAAAAUUGACAAGGAGAAAUCUCAAGAGCAAAACCAGUGAGGGUAGUUCCCUUUGUGGCCAAACAUUUUCAACUUUGUUUCUCUUAAAUAUUACAAUGUAACCUUUUAUUUUCUCUCUCAUAUUGAUUUUUUAACCCUUCAAUGGUUUAUGUAUGAACCCAGACGUGAUACGUCUGGUAUAGUAACUUUAGUUGAUACCAUUUACGAUUUUAUGGAACCCUGAUAAAACGCUGCUAAUGUAUGGUUUUGGUUAUUAGUUUCUUUUUGUUCAGGAAGCAGCCUUUUUUAGAUUCUUUUGGAUGCCAUGCAACUAUUCUCCGUACCUGUGUUUUCUGUAGCUUAUAAGAAGUUUUCACAUUAAUAGAUCAGUUUUUGCAGAACCA